rnacentral:rRNA from 1 species
UACGAAGGGGGCUAGCGUUGUUCGGAAUCACUGGGCGUAAAGCGCACGUAGGCGGAUGUGCCAGUCAGGGGUGAAAUCCCGGAGCUCAACUUCGGAACUGCCUCUGAUACAGCACGUCUUGAGUCCGGAAGAGGUGGGUGGAAUUCCUAGUGUAGAGGUGAAAUUCGUAGAUAUUCGGAGGAACACCAGUGGCGAAGGCGGCUCACUGGUCCGGUACUGACGCUGAGGUGCGAAAGCGUGGGGAGCAAACAGG